UUCUUGGCAUAAUGAAAGACCCCCGGAGAGGGGAGACCCUCACUCAAGUCUGGGGAUGAUGUGACCCCCCCCAAGAACUCACGUGAGACC
rnacentral:pre_miRNA from 14 species